rnacentral:rRNA from 1 species
CAAUAGCGUAUAUUAAAGUUGUUGCGGUUAAAAAGCUCGUAGUUGGAUUUCUGUGGUAGGCAGCCGGUCCACACUAUGUGUGAGUAUCUGGUUCGGCUACUGCAUCCUCCUGAGGAACGUUGGUGCGCUUCACUGCGUGGCACGGUAUUCAGGACUUUUACUUUGAGGAAAUUAGAGUGUUCACGGCAGGCGUUUGCCCUGAAUAUAUUAGCAUGGAAUAAUGAUAUAGGAUCCACGUCCUAUUUUGUUGGUUUCUAGGACGAGGAUAAUGAUUAAUAGGGAUAAUUGGGGGCAUUCGUAUUAGGAUGUCAGAGGUGGAAUUCUUGGAUUAUCCCACGACGAACUACUGCGAAAGCAUUUGCCAAGGAUGUUUUCAUUG